UAACCACUCGGCAUCUCGCACUCCCUGAGACCCUAACUUGUGAAGCUUUCUAAAAAGAUCGCGAGUUAGAAUCUUGGGCUCUGCGAGGAGCUCGAUUGCCG
rnacentral:pre_miRNA from 1 species